GAUGAAGAACGCAGCGAAAUGCGAUAAGUAAUGUGAAUUGCAGAAUUCAGUGAAUCAUCGAAUCUUUGAACGCACAUUGCGCCCGCCAGUAUUCUGGCGGGCAUGCCUGUUCGAGCGUCAUUACAACCCUCAGGCCCCCGGGCCUGGCGUUGGGGAUCGGCGGAAGCCCCCUGCGGGCACAACGCCGUCCCCCAAAUACAGUGGCGUCCCGCCGCAGCUUCCAUUGCGUAGUAGCUAACACCUCGCAACUGGAGAGCGGCGCGGCCACGCCGUAAAACACCCAACUUCUGAAUGUUGACCUCGAAUCAGGUAGGAAUACCCGCUGAACUUAAGCAUAUCAAUAAGCGGAGGA
rnacentral:misc_RNA from 1 species